GUGGGGAAUCUUUCACAAUGGGGGCAACCCUGAUGGAGCGACGCCGCGUGGAGGAUAAGGUCUUCGGAUUGUAAACUCCUGUCAUGCGUGAACAAGGUUGCUUGGUUAAUACCUGGGCAAAUUGAUGGUAACGCAAGAGGAAGAGACGGCUAACUCUGUGCCAGCAGCCGCGGUAAUACAGAGGUCUCAAGCGUUGUUCGGAAUCACUGGGCGUAAAGGGUGCGUAGGUGGCGUGGUAAGUCAGAUGUGAAAGCCCGGGGCUCAACCUCGGAACUGCAUCCGAUACUGCCAUGCUAGAGUACUGGAGAGGUGACUAGAAUUCUCGGUGUAGCAGUGAAAUGCGUAGAUAUCGAGAGGAAUACCAAAGGCGUAGGCAGGUCACUGGACAGUUACUGACACUGAGGCACGAAGGCCAGGGGAGCGAACGGGAUUAGAAACCCUAGUAGUCC
rnacentral:rRNA from 1 species